rnacentral:misc_RNA from 1 species
GAUGAAGAACGCAGCGAAAUGCGAUAAGUAAUGUGAAUUGCAGAAUUCAGUGAAUCAUCGAAUCUUUGAACGCACAUUGCGCCCGCCAGUAUUCUGGCGGGCAUGCCUGUCUGAGCGUCAUUUCAACCCUCAUGCCCCUAGGGCGUGGUGUUGGGGAUCGGCCAAAGCCCGCGAGGGACGGCCGGCCCCUAAAUCUAGUGGCGGACCCGUCGUGGCCUCCUCUGCGAAGUAGUGAUAUUCCGCAUCGGCGAGCGAUGAGCCCCUGCCGUUAAACCCCCAACUUUCCAAGGUUGACCUCAGAUCAGGUAGGAAUACCCGCUGAACUUAAGCAUAUCAAUAAGCGGAGGA